GCUGAUAACGGAGAGCAAACAAUGAAAAUAAGGAACAGCAGAGGAGGCUCAGCCUGGAGGAGAUGCCAAAACCAGUUCAUGGAGAAGUGGGGGUAACGCGUAGCUUGCACAACCCUUCCGCUCCUUGGAACCAGAGAUUUUUGCUUUUUGCCGUGGACUUGCGGCUACUUCUGGACGGAGCACAGUGUGGGAUGGCUGACCUUCCAGCUUUGAUCCAGCUCCUGGCUGUGGAAGGCAUCUGAAGGUUUUCCAAGACCUACAUUUCAUGGCAGAUUAGUCGUGAGAAUGACACGAGAAACAGAUAUAGGUAUAAUAAUCUCAAACACAUUCAUGCAAACAUUGUUCAUUG
rnacentral:lncRNA from 1 species